UACGUAGGGUGCAAGCGUUAAUCGGAAUUACUGGGCGUAAAGCGUGCGCAGGCGGCUAUGCAAGACAGAUGUGAAAUCCCCGGGCUCAACCUGGGAACUGCAUUUGUGACUGCAUGGCUAGAGUACGGUAGAGGGGGAUGGAAUUCCGCGUGUAGCAGUGAAAUGCGUAGAUAUGCGGAGGAACACUGAUGGCGAAGGCAAUCCCCUGGGCCUGUACUGACGCUCAUGCACGAAAGCGUGGGGAGCAAACAGG
rnacentral:rRNA from 1 species